GCGGCGUGCUUAACACAUGCAAGUCGAACGGAAAGGCCCUGCUUGCAGGGUACUCGAGUGGCGAACGGGUGAGUAACACGUGGGUGAUCUGCCCUGCACUUCGGGAUAAGCCUGGGGAACUGGGUCUAAUACCGGAUAGGAGCCAUUUUUAGUGUGAUGGUUGGAAAGUUUUUUCGGUGUAGGAUGAGCUCGCGGCCUAUCAGCUUGUUGGUAGGGUAAUGGCCUACCAAGGCGGCGACGGGUAGCCGGCCUGAGAGGGUGGACGGCCACAUUGGGACUGAGAUACGGCCCAGACUCCUACGGGAGGCAGCAGUGGGGAAUAUUGCACAAUGGGCGCAAGCCUGAUGCAGCGACGCCGCGUGGGGGAUGACGGCCUUCGGGUUGUAAACUCCUUUCGCUAGGGACGAAGCUUUUUGUGACGGUACCUAGAUAAGAAGCACCGGCUAACUACGUGCCAGCAGCCGCGGUAAUACGUAGGGUGCGAGCGUUGUCCGGAAUUACUGGGCGUAAAGGGCUCGUAGGUGGUUUGUCGCGUCGUCUGUGAAAUUCCGGGGCUUAACUCCGGGCGUGCAGGCGAUACGGGCAUAACUUGAGUACUGUAGGGGUAACUGGAAUUCCUGGUGUAGCGGUGAAAUGCGCAGAUAUCAGGAGGAACACCGAUGGCGAAGGCAGGUUACUGGGCAGUUACUGACGCUGAGGAGCGAAAGCAUGGGUAGCGAACAGGAUUAGAUACCCUGGUAGUCCAUGCCGUAAACGGUGGGCGCUAGGUGUGAGGGUCUUUUCACGACUUUCGUGCCGUAGCUAACGCAUUAAGCGCCCGCCUGGGGAGUACGGCCGCAAGGCAA
rnacentral:rRNA from 1 species